rnacentral:rRNA from 1 species
GCGUUGUCCGGAUUUACUGGGCGUAAAGAGCGCGCAGGCGGCUGGUCAAGUCCGAUGUGAAAGCUCCCGGCUUAACUGGGAAAUUGCAUCGGAAACUGAUCGGCUGGAAGGUGGGAGAGGGUAGCGGAAUUCCCGGUGUAGUGGUGAAAUGCGUAGAUAUCGGGAGGAACACCAGUGGCGAAAGCGGCUACCUGGCCCAUUCUUGACGCUGAGGCGCGAAAGCUAG